rnacentral:lncRNA from 1 species
CUUGUAAACACGCGGGGGUGGAAGUGGUGAAGGAGGGCUUGGAACAAGUUCCUCAGAACUGGUGCUCUGAGUUUCAACUGCAUUUUCCAGGCUGCCCAGCCAAUCCAGCAAGAUGGGGGGAAGCAAGCCGCAUUCCAAGUUUUAGCUCCGUUCAAUCUCCCCCAAAAUCUCUCUAGAACCAGUCCCGUUCCUCAGGCGCUUGCCGGCUGCCUGCAGCUCCUUGCACCGCGCGGACGGCUGAGUCCCGGGGUCGAAACAGCUCCGGUAGGACCUCUGGAUCCCCCUCAGCCAUGAAUAGAUCCUUCUGCCUCUGAACAGCUCACUUCCUACUACUUGUGUCACACAGAAUGAAAGAUUGAAUUGCCUAAUAUAUGCGAGUGAACUUUCUGUGAACCCUUCCCAGGCUGCUAACCUUCAAAUGACCCAGGCGUCUGACAUCACCAGCUCCCAGGAUUCUCACACGGCUUAAAAACUCCCAGCAGCCCGGCAGCGAGCAGGCAGCGGGCGGCGAGGGCGAGCGCGGCCCUCCCCAGGUCGCCCUGCUUUGUCGGGGCUGGCGAGAGUGAGCAGGGAGGCGAAGAAAAAAUAACAUUUAAAUUCAAAAAAUAAAAUAAAAUAAAAAUUAAAAAAAAAAAAAAAUCAGGAGGAGGAGAAUCAUGCCGGGAAUAGAAACAGGCCCUGCGCCGUCCGGGAGGCUGUUUGCACAGCGCCGCUUUAGGUGGUUGCUGUGAGCGGGGGUUUGCGCAUCUCAGCUCAAUUUGCUGAAACUUCUGUGCCCCCUCCCCGCUCCCUUCUCCCCCCGCCACAUUCCUUUGCUCCCCUGGAGAGUCCAUGAGCAACGCCCAGGCAUCCGCUGCUGCACCAGAGCCACAGCCGCAGGCAUCACCCCAGCAUCGGGGCAGCACAGAGCAGCCUCACCCUGAAGGGGCACCACCGCUCGGUGCCACCCACAAAGGGAUGGCUGGCACAGCCCUGCUCCUGGUGUGCCCAUCCCUGCCGUACGGGGCUCUGCAAGUCCCCAUCUCUCCUCACAAGCCCUUUUCUCACUCCUAAAACAGGCAGCUGUGUGUUACAACUGCAAAGGAGCCAGGCCACGCUGCUCAACGCUCCCAGGCUUGCCCACUGGGCUGGGGUGUGUCCCUGCGGCAUGCCCAUGUAGGCCCAGAACAGUGAGGCCACAGCCCAGCCGGGACCAGGAGGCAACUCCCUCCUCUCC